ensembl:lncRNA
UUAGAAUGCAUAUUUUCUGUAGGGUCUGCAUAUACAUUUAGGCUCCACAGUGCGUCUUUCCAAAAUUAUGGAAUACACUGUGGAUGGUAUGUAGUUAGUUUAUUUGUCAUACAAAUUCAAGAAGACAAUAUUGAUUAAUAAGCUGAUAUCCUAGCCAUUUCCACUACUUAGGAUAAGAAUCACCAGAGAACAUGACAGCUAUAUAAUGAACGUGAGGCUAUUAUCUGAUAUGGUAUUCAUAGAAUCAUAGAAUCACGGAAUCAUAGAAUGGCCUGGGUUGAAAAGGACCACAAUGAUCAUCGAGUUUCAACCCCCCUGCUAUGUGCAGGGUCACCAACCAGCAGACCAGGCUGCCCAGAGCCACAUCCAGCCUGGCCUUGAAUGCCUCCAGGGAUGGGGCAUCCACAGCCUCCUUGGACAACCUGUUCCAGUGCGUCACCACCCUCUGGGUGAAAAACUUCCUCCUAACAUCUAAUCUAAACCUCCCCUAUCUCAGUUUAAAACCAUUCCUCCUUGUCCUAUCACUAUCUACCCUUGUAAACAGCUGUCCCCCCUCCUGUUUGUAUGCUCCCUUCAAGUACUGGAAGGCCACAAUGAGGUGUUCCCGGAGCCUUCUCUUCUCCAAGCUAAACAAGCCCAGUUCCCUCACCCUUUCCUCACAGGAGAGGUGCUCCAGCCCCCUGAUCAUCUCAGUGGCCCUCCUCUGGACCCGCUGUAAGAGCUCCACGUCCUUCCCGUACUGGGGGCCCCAGGCCUGGACGCAGUACUCCAGAUGGGGCCUCACAAGAGCCGAACAGAGGGAGACAAUCACCUCCCUCUCCCUGCUGGCCACCCCUCUUUUAAUGCAGCCCAGAACACAGUUGGCCUUCCGGGCUGGAAGUGCACACUGCUGGCUCAUGUCCAGCUUCUCGUCCACCAGGACCCCCAUGUCCUUUUUUUUGUACAAUUAAAUCUUAAAUAAAAACAAAACAAUAUCAAAAUACUGUGAGACAGAUCCUCGUGGUUGUGAAAGGUCAGGACAAACUUCUCUAACACAUUCUAUUAUUUCCACUAAUGGAAUCUCUUCUCACAAGUAAAUGGUAUUUUCAGCAGGUCAAAGAAGAUAUUGCUAAACCCUUAGCACGGCCCUAACUAAACUCCUAAACUUUCAUUUGAACUGGCUUCGUGAGCAAUAGAAAACUGUCACAGUUGGAAUGCUUAAAGUGAAAGCUCUACUAUUUUAAGUGGACUUGCGGUACUCUAAUUAGGCCAUUUCAUAAUCAACUGGUACAGUGUUGACGUGGCCUAGACAAGUAGUCCACAGGCGUGACGUAGUUCAAGACAGGUCUCUGACACCGAGGUGGGACCUGCUUGGCAUUAGGGUGGCUGAUUGCACUGCAGUCUAUUGAGCUCAUGAUUUUAGGCUCUCUAGUUUCUGAUGCUUGCUUGAGGAACUCCACGAGGAGAUUCAGCAUCUGGGCAGAGUGUGUGUACGUGCCUGUGUUUGUCAGCCAUAGCGCCCUUGCCCUCCCAAACACAGAGCUUUCUUUGGCUGCCCCAGUGAAUGGUACGUGGCACUGAGUCACGUGGCAGGAGAACGGAGGGGGUGAAAGUGCACCAGCUGUGACACAGUGCUGCUGCCAGGGAGGGCCAUCCCUCACUGUCCUCUGAGCAGGGAUCGCAGACGGAAGCUCUCCUGCUGCUCCCCGGCACUGCACUUUGUCCCCUUUAUGGGAACGGCUGAUCCGGAGGCGAACAGAUGUGCAGGUCCUGUUGUGGGCAUGGCAAGGAGAACCAAGAAAUGGGACUCCCACGGCUCUUUCUUUUGCUUUGAGAUUUCACAAGUCUGUAAGCGUAAUGAUACGGCUUUAUUAAAGAUGAACACGACAUUGGUGAUCCGGUUGUAUACUCAGACAGAGAAAGAAUGGGACGGAUCGUGCCUUAUUUACGGGAGUUAAUCCUUCAGUGAGGUGAGGAGGGUGCUGGAGAGCAGAGGGCAUCCACACUUUAAGAAAGAAAAAGUGGGAGAAUUGUAAUUUUCCCGAGCCAGUAAACAUUAUAGCUGAAUACUUUUUUACAUUCAAAGGAUGAGGAAAAGCCAAAAUAAAGCGUUUCGUCGUAACAGAAGGACUGUGUAUGUGCUGGAAAUGGGGCUACAGAGAAAGUCCGUCAUAGUGCGUGAUACGUACGUAGGAGUGUGUGAUACACACAUAGGAGUGAUAGGAGGAGCUCUGCCCGGCUCAGCUGAAUUCGUUUCCAAUGCAGAGGCAGAGGAAGGGAUGCGCUCAGGCCGAGAUAAGCGACCAGGGACACGCGAGCGCUCACACGUGCGCUCAGGGUGAGGCCGCUGAGCUUCGCCGUGCCGGGGCCUACCCGGCAGGAGAUGCUGCCCAAGUGCAAAUUCGGCUUUGAUGCCUUUGUUACAUUAGCGCUGUGUCAGCAGAAAUGAAGCAUCGGAUACAUUUGGAUAAGAAAGUAUCCACUUUACUAACGCCGCGAGAGCCAAAGCGUAAUAACCUUCGCGCUCGCCGCGUUUGCUUAAGAGUUAUUUUGAGCUCGAUUUGUAAAUGCGAUGUAAAUAAGCGCUGAUAGCCCAACGACGCUGUCCGCCAGGAUGGGCCGCAGCGCCUCUGCAGCAGCUCAGCACCGCGCCGGAGCGCACCGCGCGGGCCCCGCCCGGGCCGAGCAGCCCUCGCCGCGUGCCCGGCCGCUCGCACGGCGACCUCGUUAAGCGUAUCGUUACAAUCCCCAAACGGGCCUAUUCGGGAGGAAAACCCUCCCGAGGAAUGCGGAGCGUUUGAGGGGGGCAAAAGAGCCGGGCUCGUUUCCCGGCAGGGAUGCUAUUUGCAUCGGGAAUGAAC